UCUCACUAAAAACCAGGGGUUUCGUGCAUGACGUAUUUUUGGGGGCGGAGUUGUGGGAAGGCUGUUGUCGUAAGGGGAGGGACUUGAAUAGGGUCAAGGAGCAUGCGCAGAGAGGAACCCGCACAAUUCAAAAGGCCGGUGUGAAUCUGCUGCCGAAAAAAGAAACCGCUGGAGCAAGAAAGAUUGCCUGUGACUGAUGCAACAAGUGGUUCCACCAUUCAUGUGUCGGAAACUCACCUGAAGAGGAGGAGUUCCUUUGCCCUUUGUGCAAGAUAUAAGACAGCCCCUACCAACUAACUCAUCCGCUGACCCUGCUUUUAAAUGUCAUUGCUACCACUGUUUUCCAACAACUCUAAUCAGACUUCUUUUUCAUUUUAUGUUAAAAAAAAAAACACACCUUAAAGAUGUAUGUUAUAACUUUAUUGUAGACUUUGUCACCUGAGGUUGUUUAUUUUUUAAAGACAAUACCUUUUAUAGUUUCCAUCAAUUACAGUUUGCCAAUUCAACUAUUUAUUUUGACACAGCACAUGCUAACCCUCACUUGCUGAGACUAAAGAAUGUAAAUGAACUUUGUGCCCUUUUUAGAUAGAAAAAGCUGGAAAAUAUGUUCCGCAACGAAACUACAUUUAGGUCAAUAUAAUGUUCUCUUUUUGUAUACUUCAGAAUUUAAUACAUUUGCUAUUUGAGUUUAGAAACAAUAUGCUCAUAAACAUACUUUUAUUGUUAACAUUGUUUUCAUGCCUUAUAUCUAGAUUGUAUUAAAUCCCAUACAUCUGACACAGAGGCAAACUAUGUUCCGACUCAGGAUAACUGUAGUCCCAGUGUAAAGAGUUAAUGCAUGAAAAAAUAAUUAUAUAAAACAAUGAAAGUAUAUCCAAUAAAAAAAAUAAAUAAAUACA